ACCUGGGUGGCUCAGUCGGUUGGGCGUCUGACUUGGGCUCAGGUCAUGAUCUCGUGGUUUGUGAGUUCGAGCCCCACACCGGGCU
rnacentral:tRNA from 1 species